GUUUGAUCCUGGCUCAGAUUGAACGCUGGCGGCAUGCCUUACACAUGCAAGUCGAACGGUAACGGGCCUUCGGGUGCCGACGAGUGGCGAACGGGUGAGUAAUGUAUCGGAACGUACCUUUCAGUGGGGGAUAACGUAGCGAAAGUUACGCUAAUACCGCAUAUUCUGUGCGCAGGAAAGCAGGGGAUCGCAAGACCUUGCGCUGAUUGAGCGGCCGAUAUCAGAUUAGCUAGUUGGUGAGGUAAAGGCUCACCAAGGCGACGAUCUGUAGCGGGUCUGAGAGGAUGAUCCGCCACACUGGAACUGAGACACGGUCCAGACUCCUACGGGAGGCAGCAGUGGGGAAUUUUGGACAAUGGGGGCAACCCUGAUCCAGCCAUGCCGCGUGAGUGAAGAAGGCCUCGGUGUAAG
rnacentral:rRNA from 1 species